GUCUACAGCCAUGCUACCCUGAACACGCCCGAUCCCAUCUGAUCUCAGAAGCUAAGCAGGGUCAUGCCUGCUUAGGAAUACCAGGUGCUGUAGGUG
rnacentral:rRNA from 1 species